CCUACGGGUGGCACCAGUGGGGAAUAUUGGACAAUGGGGGGAACCCUGAUCCAGCCAUGCCGCGUGUGUGAAGAAGGCCUUUUGGUUGUAAAGCACUUUAAGCGAGGAGGAGGCUACUAGUAUUAAUACUACUGGAUAGUGGACGUUACUCGCAGAAUAAGCACCGGCUAACUCUGUGCCAGCUGCCGCGGUAAUACAGAGGGUGCGAGCGUUAAUCGGAUUUACUGGGCGUAAAGCGUGCGUAGGCGUCUGAUUAAGUCGGAUGUGAAAUCCCUGAGCUUAACUUAGGAAUUGCAUUCGAUACUGGUCAGCUAGAGUAUGGGAGAGGAUGGUAGAAUUCCAUGUGUAGCGGUGAAAUGCGUAGAGAUGUGGAGGAAUACCGGUGGCGAAGGCGGCCCCCUGGACAAAGACUGACGCUCAGGUGCGAAAGCGUGGGGAGCAAACAGGAUUAGAUACCCCGGUAGUC
rnacentral:rRNA from 1 species